UGAAAGGGAGAAGAGAGGUUGAACCAUGGGGAAGGGGGAAGAGGAAGGCAGCCGCUAAGCCGCCCACUAGGAAGCGGAUGGACAAGCUCGAUAUGGUCUUUUCCUGCCCAUUCUGCAAUGAUAGGAGCAGCGUUGAAUGCCGGAUUGAUAUGGAAACCUGAUUGGUGAGGCUAAUUGUGAAAUCUGACAGGAAAGCUUCAGCAGCCAGCACCACUGCAAAUGGCGGCUUCGGCGAGUCGGAUGGACAACGGCAGCGGCUGAGCUUCUCCAUGGCCUGCUGCAGUUCCUAGGAGAGAGAGCUUCGAAGGUGAGGAGAUAUAGAAGAACAGAAGGGAGAGGAGGAAGGGCAGGGGCGUGGCGGCCUUGACGGUGAACCUCGGGUUGCGACGGUCUCCGGCGAGAGGCGGCGUGGGGUGGCGGCGCGAGCCUACGGAGCGGCGGCGGCUUGGAGCUGCGGGAGCUCGGGCGUUUGGAUGCGUUUGGAUCGCAGGCCUAAGGUUAUGCAUAUUGGCAGGUGGUCGCUUUCAUGGUUGGAGUGAGCAGCUUGGCCAGGUACCAUGCGCAACAAUCCCACGGAAUCUACCACCCUUCAUGGCUGCCAGAGCUGGUGUAGUGUGGCGAAGAUGUCGUCAAUUGUGGCGACACAAAUGGUGAGCGACCAAUAAAAAGAAGUAAGAUUGCCGUUGAUGUUCUUGUGCAGGAGUGCUCCGAUUAUUGAUCAAGGGAGCAUUGGUCUGAUUUAAGAGGAGAUUAGUAGCUUAUUUUGUUCACAUAUGUUUAAGAGGGGACCGAGAAAAUUUCUUGCUAAGCUUAUAACAGUGUUGCACGGGCAAACUUCUGCCAUGAAGAAAUAUAACUAGAAACACGGUGUUUUUGAUUGGGAA